AUCCAGCUGACGAGUCCCAAAUAGGACGAAAUGCGCGUCCUGGAC
rfam:Trichobilharzia regenti genome assembly, scaffold: TRE_scaffold0114374